AUUGAACGCUGGCGGCAGGCUUAACACAUGCAAGUCGAGCGGAGAGAGGUAGCUUGCUACUGAUCUUAGCGGCGGACGGGUGAGUAAUGCUUAGGAAUCUGCCUAUUAGUGGGGGACAACAUUUCGAAAGGAAUGCUAAUACCGCAUACGUCCUACGGGAGAAAGCAGGGGAUCUUCGGACCUUGCGCUAAUAGAUGAGCCUAAGUCGGAUUAGCUAGUUGGUGGGGUAAAGGCCUACCAAGGCGACGAUCUGUAGCGGGUCUGAGAGGAUGAUACGCCGCACUGGGACUGAGACACGGCCCAGACUACUACGGGAGGCAGCAGUGGGGAAUAUUGGACAAUGGGCGCAAGCCUGAUCCAGCCAUGCCGCGUGUGUGAAGAAGGCCUUAUGGUUGUAAAGCACUUUAAGCGAGGAGGAGGCUACUUUAGUUAAUACCUAGAGAUAGUGGACGUUACUCGCAGAAUAAGCACCGGCUAACUCUGUGCCAGCCGCCGCAGUAAAAC
rnacentral:rRNA from 1 species